rnacentral:rRNA from 2 species
GAGACGCUGGCGGCGUGCCUAAUACAUGCAAGUCGAACGAACUCUGGUAUUGAUUGGUGCUUGCAUCAUGAUUUACAUUUGAGUGAGUGGCGAACUGGUGAGUAACACGUGGGAAACCUGCCCAGAAGCGGGGGAUAACACCUGGAAACAGAUGCUAAUACCGCAUAACAACUUGGACCGCAUGGUCCGAGCUUGAAAGAUGGCUUCGGCUAUCACUUUUGGAUGGUCCCGCGGCGUAUUAGCUAGAUGGUGGGGUAACGGCUCACCAUGGCAAUGAUACGUAGCCGACCUGAGAGGGUAAUCGGCCACAUUGGGACUGAGACACGGCCCAAACUCCUACGGGAGGCAGCAGUAGGGAAUCUUCCACAAUGGACGAAAGUCUGAUGGAGCAACGCCGCGUGAGUGAAGAAGGGUUUCGGCUCGUAAAACUCUGUUGUUAAAGAAGAACAUAUCUGAGAGUAACUGUUCAGGUAUUGACGGUAUUUAACCCAGAAAGCCACGGCUAACUACGUGCCAGCAGCCGCGGUAAUACGUAGGUGGCAAGCGUUGUCCGGAUUUAUUGGGCGUAAAGCGAGCGCAGGCGGUUUUUUAAGUCUGAUGUGAAAGCCUUUCGGCUCAACCGAAGAAGUGCAUCGGAAACUGGGAAACUUGAGUGCAGAAGAGGACAGUGGAACUCCAUGUGUAGCGGUGAAAUGCGUAGAUAUAUGGAAGAACACCAGUGGCGAAGGCGGCUGUCUGGUCUGUAACUGACGCUGAGGCUCGAAAGUAUGGGUAGCAAACAGGAUUAGAUACCCUGGUAGUCCAUACCGUAAACGAUGAAUGCUAAGUGUUGGAGGGUUUCCGCCCUUCAGUGCUGCAGCUAACGCAUUAAGCAUUCCGCCUGGGGAGUACGGCCGCAAGGCUGAAACUCAAAGGAAUUGACGGGGGCCCGCACAAGCGGUGGAGCAUGUGGUUUAAUUCGAAGCUACGCGAAGAACCUUACCAGGUCUUGACAUACUAUGCAAAUCUAAGAGAUUAGACGUUCCCUUCGGGGACAUGGAUACAGGUGGUGCAUGGUUGUCGUCAGCUCGUGUCGUGAGAUGUUGGGUUAAGUCCCGCAACGAGCGCAACCCUUAUUAUCAGUUGCCAGCAUUAAGUUGGGCACUCUGGUGAGACUGCCGGUGACAAACCGGAGGAAGGUGGGGAUGACGUCAAAUCAUCAUGCCCCUUAUGACCUGGGCUACACACGUGCUACAAUGGAUGGUACAACGAGUUGCGAACUCGCGAGAGUAAGCUAAUCUCUUAAAGCCAUUCUCAGUUCGGAUUGUAGGCUGCAACUCGCCUACAUGAAGUCGGAAUCGCUAGUAAUCGCGGAUCAGCAUGCCGCGGUGAAUACGUUCCCGGGCCUUGUACACACCGCCCGUCACACCAUGAGAGUUUGUAACACCCAAAGUCGGUGGGGUAACCUUUUAGGAACCAGCCGCCUAAGGUGGGACAGAUGAUUAGGUGAAG